rnacentral:lncRNA from 1 species
CUCUCCAUCCUGGAGAUUUAAUGAUUUCUGUUUAAUUUUUGCAGGCACAGGAAAAGGUCACAGGUCAAUCACUCCAGCAGAAUUGUAGAGGAACUCUUCAUUGGCCGGCAGAGGGGGCUCCUUGAAGAAGGUCCUAGGACUCUACUUUAAAGAUAUAAAAUACGACCUCCUCAAAGAUGACUGUAUUAAG